UUUUAGAAUAAGGCUGUAACGUAACAAAAUGUGGACAAAGUCAAGGGGUCUGAAUACUUUCCGAAUGCCCUGUAUGACAUUAUGAGCAAAGGUUUAUUUUUCAUCAUGUAACGACAGAAGAGAAGCUGCAUGUAUCUAAUUAUAGACAAGUUGACUAUCAAAUAGUCUGCCAAAAUGUCAGAAAUUAUAACCAGAAACAUAAGCAUAAUCUAAAAAAAAGGCCUGUCAAAAAAAUGAUUCUGCUUUUUUCUGGCUGUACAGCGCCUUUUCAAUGUUAGUGUCGAUUGCGGGCCUCAAAUUCUGAACUCUUAUCACAUAGUCGGUUGGUUGCGGAUGAGUUAUUAACAAGAAGAAACGGCUGACCUGCUCAUCACUAAUCUCAAUAUAAGGUUCACCAGACUGUUCCAAGAAGGAGUGAGCUGUUUUUUACUUUGAGAGAAAUGACUUCUUCUGGCCCACCUCUUCAAGUCACUUUCUGACCAGCGAACCGACAGAGGAGAGGCGGCGGGUUGAAGAGUUUGUUGCUAGUAUAGAUCUGGGUCAGCUACAGAGUCU